ACGUGUGCUCUUCCUAUCUCAUAUACUGUUGGCCUUUUAGGACUCUGGAAAAUAACUAUAUAAAUAAUAAAUAAGGUCAAAAUGUAUA